UGCGAUAUGUGUUGGCGUAUUGCAAUACUUAUUGCAAUAUAUUGUGAAAGUGUGACACAUGGUUUAGCUCUUUCAACACCAGUCAACCAGAGGCUUUUACUGCCAUGACACCGAGAUCCCAGAGACCCUGAGGCCAUAGAUGAGGCCUAAUUUUAUGAAGGAUAUUAUA